rnacentral:tRNA from 1 species
GGGAAUGUGGCUUAGUGGUAGAGUGCUUGCCUACUAUGCAUGAAGCCCUGGGUUCAAUUCCUCAGUACCA